rnacentral:rRNA from 1 species
GAUUGUGUUAAUUCCUUUACCUUUUUCACAAACGUGAAGAGGUGAAGCAACAAAAAUAAUAGAGUCAAUCAAAUUUUAAGAGUUUGAUCCUGGCUCAGGAUGAACGCUGGCGGCGUGUCUAAGGCAUGCAAGUCGAACGGGUAUAUUUUUGUAGCAAUACAAAGAUAUACUAGUGGCAAACGGGAGCAUAACACAUUGAUAACCUACCUUGAGGAUCGGUACAACCCCGCGAAAGCGGGGCUAAUUCCGGAUGUGAUCCAACAUCAUAUGAUGUUGGAUGAAAGCAGCAAUGCACCUUAAGAGGGGUCUAUGGCUCAUCAGCUAGUUGGUAAGGUAAUGGCUUACCAAGGCUACGACGAGUAGGGGGUGUGGGAGCACUAUCCCCCUCACAGGGACUGAGACACUGCCCUGACUUCUACGGAAGGCUGCAGUCAAGAAUCUUCCCCAAUGGACGAAAGUCUGAGGGAGCGACGCCGCGUGUAGGAAGAAGCUCUUCGGGGCGUAAACUACUUUUGUAUGGGAACAAGUUCUGAGUGUACCAUGCGAAUAAGGACCUGCUAAACUCGUGCCAGCAGCAGCGGUAAGACGAGUGGUCCAAGCGUUAUCCGGUUUUAUUGGGCGUAAAGGGUCCGUAGGUGGCCAGUUAAGUCCGGCGUUAAAUCCUGGUGCUCAACAUCAGGGCCGCGUUGGAAACUAAUUGGCUAGAGGCUGGGAGGGGCCAGUGGAAUUGCCGGUGUAGCAGUAAAAUGCUUUAAUAUCGGCAGGAACACCAAAAGCGAAGGCAUCUGGCUGGAAUGACACUAAUGGACGAAAGCGUGGGGAGCGAAUGGGAUUAGAUACCCCAGUAGUCCACGCCGUAAACGAUGGGUAUUAGGUAUUGGAAGUAUCGACCCUUUCAGUGCCGUUUAUUUAAGAAAACUCCUUAAAUACCCCGCCUGGGAAGUACGGCCGCAAGGCUAAAACUUAAAGGAAUUGACGGGAACCCGCACAAGCGGUGGAGCAUGUGGUUUAAUUCGACGGUAAACGAAGAACCUUACCAGGGCUUGACAUGUAGUGAAUCCUGAAGAAAUUCGGGAGUGCCCGCAAGGGAACGCUAACACAGGUGCUGCAUGGUUGUCGUCAGCUCGUGUCGUGAGAUGUCGGGUUAAGUCCUUUAACGAGCGCAACCCUCAUCUUGUGUUGUAUUUCACAAGAAACUGCCCCGGUUAACGGGGAGGAAGGUGGGGAUGACGUCAAAUCAGCAUGGCUCUUACGCCCUGGGCCACACACGUGCUACAAUGGCUACUACAAUGGGUCGCGAAGUCGCGAGACGGAGCUAAUCCUAUCAAAAGUAGUCCUAGUUCGGAUUGAAGGCUGCAACUCGCCUUCAUGAAGCUGGAAUCGCUAGUAACCGCCGGUCAGCUAAACGGCGGUGAAUACGUUCUCGGGUUUUGUACACACCGCCCGUCACGCCAAGAGAGUCGGUAAUACCUGAAGUGGCUCGUUCGAGCAUCUAGGGUAGGAUCGAUGAUAGGGGCGAAGUCGUAACAAGGCACCGGUAGCGGAAGCUGUCGGUGGAUCACCUCCUUUCUAGGGAGAAAACGAAGUGAAUCACGAAUUCAUUUCUAACAGGUCGACAUCUCUUUCUA